rnacentral:lncRNA from 1 species
GCAAGUUAACAAUUAAAACACGCAGACAAACUGACAUCUUUGUAAAUAUUUUUUUUUUGUUCUGCAUAAAAUUUAUUGUAUACAAGUCUACAAAAACGUUUUAAAAAGUUUAGUAAAUAGUUAUUUUUCCAUAAGUGUACAUGUGUAUGCUCGAAGUAUAUAUAGAAUCAGUACAUGAUACACAACAUGCGACAAAAAAGGGGGUAGUAAUAACAGGAAACUAAAUCAAACUAAGGCUUUGAUCGAUGUAAACUUCAAUAAAACUGGAAGUUACACAAGGGGAACAGGAAAUAAGAAUAUAUUGCAUCACUUACGACAACCUUUGAAUUGACCAGUGACUUUUUUAUUUAUUACUGACCAGCCACACCGAGAUAAUCCAACGAGUUUUUAAGGGUUCAUAUGAAGUGUGGACCUAAAUGUUCUUUAUCUUUAAAUAUAACGCUUAUUCUGUAAAAUCCUCAAUAAACAAUUUCCGGGAUCGGAACUCCGGGAUCGGGUAUUUUUAAACACGGGAUUUCGGGAUUAAUCUUUUCGGGAUCCGGGAAUUCU